rnacentral:lncRNA from 1 species
CCAGGAAGAGCCAUGUGUUUAUAAGAAGGUUAGUAGGAGUAUUGUUAUAUUACUCAUAUUGUAUAUGAAUGACAUUCUUCUGAUUGAGAAUAAUAUUUUUAUAUUAACUUCGAUUAAGAUAUAUAUGAUUGUCUAAAAAAUUCUCCAUAAAAGAUCUUUGGAGAGCAUCCUACAUUUUGAUAAUAAAAAUCUAUAGAGA